rnacentral:rRNA from 1 species
GACGAACGCUGGCGGCGUGCCUAACACAUGCAAGUCGAGCGAUGACGUUUGGUGCUUUCACCAAUUUGUACAGCAGGCAACGGGUGAGUAACGUGUGUGGAGUAUGCCUCUGAGCGGGGGGCGAUAAUGGGAAACGAAUUCUAAUACCGCAUCAUAACUCUCAACAUAAUGGUCACGUUUUAAAGUUGCUAUUUCCUCACUCAAAGACGAUCCCGAGUUGUAUUAGCUAGUUGGUGGGGUAAAGGCACACGAAGCCGAGGAUACAUAGCCGACCCGAGAGGGUGAUCAGCCAAAUUGGGACUGAGACACGGCCCAAACUCCUAGGGGAGGCAGCAGUAGGGGAUCUUCGGCGAUGGACGAAAGUCUGACCGAGCAACGACGCGUGAGUGAAGGAGGUUUUCGGGUCGUAAAACUCUGUUGGUAGAGAAGGACGUUGGUGAGAGUGGAAAGCUCAUCAAGUGACGGUAACUACCCAGAAAGCGACGGCUAACUACGUG